CUACACUCGUCCAUAUACAAUUGCCCUCCUUAUGCUUCAUAGUUACCAUAUCGAAACUUUACCAAAUAAAGUGAGUUAAAAACGAUCCUGAUUCAAUUACCUUUUCGAAAAGCGUAAAAAAAAAAGAAGCGUUAUAUAGUAGUUCUGAACACCGUAGGCUAUGUCAUUAUUUCAUUAUGACCACUGGCAUGUAGAGUACAGACUCUCAAUUAGCUACACCUGCUGUUUCCUCUCCAAAAACGCCUCUGAUACAAGGCCCAUAGCCACUCCUUGGGCUCCGCCUUUGUUGGCCAUUGUAUUAGUAAAACACAAAAUUUAAAAAGAUCUCACAAUUACCUGGCUUGAAGAUAUAGCAUUUUUUUGGUCGCUCUUCGUGUCUACAACAUCACCGUCCUACCAAAAGGCCUACCAUGUGCUGGACGCUACUCUGGCCACGAGAGGCCACUCGUGUGCAGACUGCCUUCAUUAAUCCACCGGAAGCAAGAAACCUCGAAACGGAGUAAAAGGAUCAUGCAUUUUAUUUGUUCAUCUGAUAAACAAUACUUACUGUUGCUGAGGCAUAGUGAUGAAAAACUAUUUUGAUCCUUUGUGGUAUGGUCGUCUCGGGCUAUUUAUGACUCCGAGAGGUUGUUCAACACGUGGUUUAUUCUAACAGAGACACAAGGUAAACGAGCUCGCGUUCUGGAGGUGGUUCAUGAGGGAUCUCUUCAACACAGGACUUUGGAUCGGCGCUUGGUGUCUUGGUAUACGUCGCGUCCCCUGCGGACCACAGGAGAGGGAAAUGGAGGAGGGGGGGGGGGAAAGUGAGCGCUCUUAUCUCAACAUUAAAGGUGACAUAUUAUACCAUAAGGUGUGAGUGUGAUUAGCCGUUACAAGCCGUUUGGAAAAUCAGCCUCUGCUGACAUCACAAG
ensembl:lncRNA